rnacentral:tRNA from 1 species
UCCCUCAUAGCUCAGUGGGUGAAGCAUCUGCCUACAAUGCAGGAGGCCCAGGUUCGAUCCUGGGUCAGGAAG